UUACAUGACUGACAUUAAUUUAUUUUAC
rnacentral:sRNA from 1 species